CCUACGGGAGGCAGCAGUGGGGAAUAUUGGACAAUGGGGGGAACCCUGAUCCAGCCAUGCCGCGUGUGUGAAGAAGGCCCUCGGGUUGUAAAGCACUUUCAGUGAGGAAGAACGCCUGGUGGUUAAUACCCAUCAGGAAAGACAUCACUCACAGAAGAAGCACCGGCUAACUCCGUGCCAGCAGCCGCGGUAAUACGGAGGGUGCGAGCGUUAAUCGGAAUUACUGGGCGUAAAGCGCGCGUAGGUGGCUUGAUAAGCCGGUUGUGAAAGCCCCGGGCUCAACCUGGGAACGGCAUCCGGAACUGUCAAGCUUGAGUGCAGGAGAGGAAGGUAGAAUUCCCGGUGUAGCGGUGAAAUGCGUAGAGAUCGGGAGGAAUACCAGUGGCGAAGGCGGCCCUCUGGACUGACACUGACGCUGAGGUGCGAAAGCGUGGGGAGCAAACAGGAUUAGAUACCCGAGUAGUC
rnacentral:rRNA from 1 species